GCUUCUGCACUCAUUACUCUCACAGUUAUAAAACAGAGCAUUGUCCCUCUUCAAUUCGCACCUCCCUUCCUUUUCUUUCUUCUUCCUCUUUUCUUCUUUCCUCUUUACUCCUUCCCUCUUCUUUCAUUUUCUUUCUUCUUCCGAUAUUCUUUCUUUCACCGAGAGACACUAAGAGAGUGAAAGAGAGAGAGAGAGAGAGAGAGAGAGACAGAAUCGGGAGAGAGAGAGAGAGAGAGACCGAUUGGUGAGGGAGGUCGCUAGAGGGAGCGAAUCCGGCGGACCCGUGCGCAGAGCCGACGAACAGAGACCCGAUCGGAAGCCGAUUUUCCGGUGGUCCCGUGAGCUGAACCCAUCAGACCCGAACAAUCCGGCGACCUGGAGCGGGGUUAGCGCCGAUCGGAGCUGAGACGCCGGCGGAGGCUAGAGGACACGAUUUCCGGCAAAGCAGGGGUGAUUUUCGAUGGUUUUCGGUGAGAGUCGUUUUCCGGUGGACUGAUCGAGUAUCCGCGUGACUCAGACCUAAUUCUGGCGAGCAGAGGCGUGACUUCCGGCGACUGGGUAGAUGAUCGUGCCGUUGAUGAUUUUUCUGUGGAUUUUUCUGUGAUUAAAUAGAAAUUAGCAAGCCCAUUAUGUAGGUAUAAAAGAGUAUAAAGCUCAAAGAUUGGAUUUUGAUAGCACUGAAGAGUUAGAACUGUUUAUUAAUGUAGCUAAUGAUUACAGUGAUUUCUUUGUAUUAGUUUGGAAUGUAAUAUUUUAAUUACACAUGUCUUUCAGUAAAUUCUGAUGUAUCUUUUUAAAGAAAAUAAAAUAUAUUCCGCUGCAUAAGUUAUCUCUGAUGUAGUAAUGUCACGUGGAAACUGGAGGUUUCCGCUUACGAAUUUGCUAGUUCAAAUUUGGGGCGUUACACCCCCAAACCAUUUUAUUUUGUUUUUGUAA